ACAAGAUGGCCUCUACUUAUAUUAGAUGUUGGUUUUAUCCUUGCCUUGUGAUUUUAUUUGUGCCAAAACAAGAUCAAUGGAAUUCUUUGCUGCUAAGGAUUUUGUUUUCCAGUGGAAAUUUAACAAUUAUUUAUUCCCUCAAAAAUGAACCCCUACAAGUGAACAUGGACACAGUCCAAGGGAAAGGUGCCUUCAAAAUUCAGAAUGUGCAUCGCAGCAAAGGAGAGUUUUUUAAGAAGGGAUCUGAAGAAAAGUGAUGUUGCUUUGAGGAUGUUUAUGGAAACCUCCUCCAAAGCACGAGGGGAUGAAAGUUGCCCCCAGGUCUGUGCCUGUGCCCUAGAUAUUCUUAUGCUGUGGUACAUCCCCCCAGCCUUCAGCAGGAACCUGCAGAGGAAGAAAAAACACCACCUUCCUGCAAAUCCUCCUCCUUGCCAGAUGAAGCUGUUAUGUCUCCCCCACCAUCUUCUGAUGAUGAUUUCAAGACCUUAUAAAACAGACAGCAGAGA